AUUCAGCUGACGAGUCACAAACAGAACGAAACGCGCGUCCUGGAU
rfam:Schistosoma mansoni strain Puerto Rico chromosome W, complete genome